CCUACGGGCGGCAGCAGUGGGGAAUAUUGCACAAUGGGCGCAAGCCUGAUGCAGCCAUGCCGCGUGUAUGAAGAAGGCCUUCGGGUUGUAAAGUACUUUCGGCGGGGAGGAAGGUGUUGUGGUUAAUAACCGCAGCAAUUGACGUUACCCGCAGAAGAAGCACCGGCUAACUCCGUGCCAGCAGCCGCGGUAAUACGGAGGGUGCAAGCGUUAAUCGGAAUUACCGGGCGUAAAGCGCACGCAGGCGGUCUGUCAAGUCGAAUGUGAAAUCCCCGGGCUCAACCCGGGAACUGCAUUCGAAACUGGCAGGCUAGAGUCUUGUAGAGGGGGGUAGAAUUCCAGGUGUAGCGGUGAAAUGCGUAGAGAUCUGGAGGAAUACCGGUGGCGAAGGCGGCCCCCUGGACAAAGACUGACGCUCAGGUGCGAAAGCGUGGGGAGCAAACAGGAUUAGAUACCCCAGUAGUC
rnacentral:rRNA from 1 species